AACGAACGCUGGCGGCAGGCCUAACACAUGCAAGUCGAACGCCGUAGCAAUACGGAGUGGCAGACGGGUGAGUACCGCGUGGGAACCUUCCCAGUGGUACGGAAUAACUCAGGGAAACUUGAGCUAAUACCGUAUACGCCCCUCGGGGGAAAGAUUUAUCGCCAUUGGAUGGGCCCGCGUCGGAUUAGCUAGUUGGUGAGGUAACGGCUCACCAAGGCGACGAUCCGUAGCUGGUCUGAGAGGAUGAUCAGCCACACUGGGACUGAGACACGGCCCAGACUCCUACGGGAGGCAGCCGUGGGGAAUAUUGGACAAUGGGCGCAAGCCUGAUCCAGCCAUGCCGCGUGAGUGACGAAGGCCUUAGGGUUGUAAAGCUCUUUUGGCGGGGAAGAUAAUGACGGUACCCGCAGAAUAAGCUCCGGCUAACUUCGUGCCAGCAGCCGCCGUAACAC
rnacentral:rRNA from 1 species